UUGCAGUGAGCCAAGAUCGCGCCACUGCACUCCAGCCUGGGCAACAGAGUGAGACUCCAUCUCAAAAAAAAGAACAGAACUCUGGGCCAGGUGGGUGGCUCGUGUCUGUAAUCCCAGGACUUUGGGAGGCUGAGGCAGGAGGGUCGCUUGAGCCCAGGAGUUUGAGACCAGCCUGGGCAACAUGGUGGGACCCUGUCUCUACCAAAAAUACAAAAAUCAGCCAGGCGUGGUGGCAUAUGCCCGUAGUCCCAACUACUCGGGAGGCUGAGGUGGGAGGAUUGCUUAAGCCUGGGAGGUCGAGGCUACAGUGAGCCAUGAUGAUGCCAUUGUACUCCAGCCCAAACAACAGAGUGAAACCCCAACUCUUAAAAACAAAAACAAAAACAAAACUCUGGUAAAGAUUCAUUCUGGCUUGCUAAUAGCAUGAACCUUGCAGCAACUGAACAUCCCCAGCAGGGCUGCUGGACAUGGGCUGGAGGCACUGACCCACUGGACUAUAAGUCAAAGGCAAAACCCAGUCCAGUGUGUGUCAUCUCCCCAGGCUCUAAAGCACAGGCCUGCUGAGGCAGGCCAGACAGAAGCUCCAGGGAUAAACAGUCGGACAGGAACCAAAUCAGCUUCAACUUGGCUUCCCCAGGGCUUUGCCAGUGCCACUGGGCAGAGAUACUUAUGCCUCAGAAAAAUGGAAGAAAUUAGACCCAGGCCCAGUGGAUCUGGUUGGUAGGGAGGAGACAGGCCUCCGGGAAAAGGCACUCCUUACCAGGAGGGGAGACAGAAUACAGGAGAGAAACACUGAAUGAGAAACACUCAGAGAAAAGGAACUAGAGAAAAGAACACAGAAAAAC
rnacentral:lncRNA from 10 species